UAACCCUUUAGGGAAGGGAGCCGUCGAAGGUAGGGAGUCAGCGAUUGGGGUG
rnacentral:rRNA from 1 species